rnacentral:rRNA from 1 species
AUUGAACGCUGGCGGCAUGCCUUACACAUGCAAGUCGAACGGUAACGGGCCUUCAGGUGCCGACGAGUGGCGAACGGGUGAGUAAUACAUCGGAACGUGCCCGAUCGUGGGGGAUAACGAGGCGAAAGCUUUGCUAAUACCGCAUACGAUCUACGGAUGAAAGCAGGGGACCGCAAGGCCUUGCGCGGACGGAGCGGCCGAUGGCAGAUUAGGUAGUUGGUGGGAUAAAAGCUUACCAAGCCGACGAUCUGUAGCUGGUCUGAGAGGAUGAUCAGCCACACUGGGACUGAGACACGGCCCAGACUCCUACGGGAGGCAGCAGUGGGGAAUUUUGGACAAUGGGCGCAAGCCUGAUCCAGCCAUGCCGCGUGCAGGAUGAAGGCCUUCGGGUUGUAAACUGCUUUUGUACGGAACGAAAAGCCUUCUUUUAAUACAGGAGGGUCAUGACGGUACCGGAAGAAUAAGCACCGGCUAACUACGUG